GGCACGGUGGCUCAGUGGUUACUAUGUUUGCCUCGCACCUCCAGGGUUGGGGGUUCGAGUCCCACCCCUGCCU